rnacentral:rRNA from 1 species
AGAGUUUGAUCCUGGCUCAGGAUGAACGCUGGCGGCGUGCCUAACACAUGCAAGUCGAACGUGAAACCUUCAUUGAUUACUUCGGUAUGAUCUGUUGGUGGAAAGUGGCGAACGGGUGAGUAACACGUAGGUGACCUGCCUCGAAGUGGGGGAUAACCAUUGGAAACGAUGGCUAAUACCGCAUGGCUUUGUUAGAGUGGGAACUUUGACAAAUAAAGCUCUGGCGCUUUGAGAGGGGCCUGCGUCCGAUUAGCUAGUUGGUGGGGUAAUAGCCCACCAAGGCGACGAUCGGUAGCUGGUCUGAGAGGACGAUCAGUCACACGGGAACUGAGACACGGUCCCGACUCCUACGGGGGGCAGCAGUGAGGAAUAUUCGGCAAUGGGGGCAACCCUGACCGAGCAACGCCGCGUGGAGGAUGAAGGCCCUUGGGUCGUAAACUCCUUUUCUGUGGGAAGAGAAAAAGGACGGUACCACAGGAAUAAGUCACGGCUAACUACGUGCCAGCAGCCGCGGUAAUACGUAGGUGGCAAGCGUUAUCCGGAAUUACUGGGCGUAAAGCGUACGCAGGCGGUUGAUUAAGUCUGACGUGAAAGCUCCUGGCUUAACUGGGAGAGGUCGUUGGGAACUAAUUAGCUUGAGGUGAUGAGAGGGGUGCGGAAUUCCCGGUGUAGUGGUGGAAUGCGUAGAUAUCGGGAGGAACACCAGUGGCGAAAGCGGCACCCUGGCAUUUACCUGACGCUCAUGUACGAAAGCGUGGGGAGCGAACGGGAUUAGAUACCCCGGUAGUCCACGCCGUAAACGAUGAACACUAGGUGUAGGUGGCAUCAAACCCAUCUGUGCCGAAGCAAACGCGAUAAGUGUUCCGCCUGGGGAGUACGGCCGCAAGGCUAAAACUCAAAGAAAUUGACGGGGGCCCGCACGAGCAGCGGAGCGUGUGGUUUAAUUCGAUCAACGCGAAGAACCUUACCUGGGUUUGACAUGUACGUAGUAGUGAACCGAAAGGGGAACGAGCCUUCGGGCAGCGUACACAGGUGCUGCAUGGCUGUCGUCAGCUCGUGUCGUGAGAUGUUGGGUUAAGUCCCGCAACGAGCGCAACCCUCGUCGUUAGUUACAAGUGUCUAGCGAGACUGCCGGUAUCAAGCCGGAGGAAGGUGGGGAUGAUGUUAAGUCAGCAUGGCCUUUAUAUCCAGGGCUACACACACGCUACAAUGGCUAGUACAAUGGGCAGCGAAACCGCGAGGUGGAGCGAAUCCUAUCAAAGCUAGUCGUAGUUCGGAUUGCAGGCUGCAACCCGCCUGCAUGAAGCCGGAGUUGCUAGUAACCGCAGGUCAGCCAUACUGCGGUGAAUACGUUCCCGGGCCUUGUACACACCGCCCGUCACACCAUGGGAGUGGGUUGCAAAAGAAGUGGGUAGCUUAACCUUCGGGAGGGCGCUCACCACUUUGUGAUUCAUGACUGGGGUGAAGUCGUAACAA